rnacentral:rRNA from 1 species
GCGGCAUGCUUUACACAUGCAAGUCGAACGGCAGCGCGGGGCAACCUGGCGGCGAGUGGCGAACGGGUGAGUAAUACAUCGGAACGUACCCAGAAGUGGGGGAUAACGUAGCGAAAGUUACGCUAAUACCGCAUACGUUCUACGGAAGAAAGUGGGGGACCUUCGGGCCUCAUGCUUUUGGAGCGGCCGAUGUCUGAUUAGCUAGUUGGUAGGGUAAAGGCCUACCAAGGCGACGAUCAGUAGCUGGUCUGAGAGGACGACCAGCCACACUGGGACUGAGACACGGCCCAGACUCCUACGGGAGGCAGCAGUGGGGAAUUUUGGACAAUGGGCGCAAGCCUGAUCCAGCAAUGCCGCGUGAGUGAAGAAGGCCUUCGGGUUGUAAAGCUCUUUUGUCAGGGAAGAAACGGCUGGGGCUAAUAUCCUCGGCUAAUGACGGUACCUGAAGAAUAAGCACCGGCUAACUACGUGCCAGCAGCCGCGGUAAUACGUAGGGUGCAAGCGUUAAUCGGAAUUACUGGGCGUAAAGCGUGCGCAGGCGGUUUUGUAAGUCUGACGUGAAAGCCCCGGGCUCAACCUGGGAAUUGCGUUGGAGACUGCAAGGCUUGAAUCUGGCAGAGGGGGGUAGAAUUCCACG